rnacentral:rRNA from 1 species
UACGUAGGGUGCAAGCGUUGUCCGGAAUUAUUGGGCGUAAAGAGCUUGUAGGCGGUUUGUCGCGUCUGCUGUGAAAUUUCGGGGCUCAACCCCGAACUUGCAGUGGGUACGGGCAGACUAGAGUGUGUAGGGGAGACUGGAAUUCCUGGUGUAGCGGUGAAAUGCGCAGAUAUCAGGAGGAACACCGAUGGCGAAGGCAGGUCUCUGGGCCAUAACUGACGCUGAGAAGCGAAAGCAUGGGGAGCGAACAGGA